rnacentral:sRNA from 1 species
CAAUUAGGAUUACAAGCGUUUCUUCAAAAUUUAGUAGCUCACAAGGACAUUGCUAACUGCCUUGCAGUGAGAGAAUUUCUUUGUUUGGAUGAUCCACCGGGUCCAUUUGAUAGCCUAGAAGAAAGCAGGGUAAGUGCUGUAUUAUAUAGCACAUGAAAAGAGGAACAAAUAAUACAGUACAAUAACUACAUUGUUUCUUGGAUGGAAUAGCAAACAGCAAAAUAUUAUAAUUUCAGGCUAUGGUAGUUUUGCACAGAAAGGUUUCAUGUUUGAGUCAAAGGUUGCUUUCAGUGAAAUACAUAGACUUAGCUCAGUGAAAAAGUAAAAAUUCAUAUAUGUCUUAUAGUCAAUAAAGCUCUAAAAUUAAAUCCUGCAUUAUUUUUACUGUUUCAAAAAAAAUGAUUUGGGGGACCUUUUUAUAUUUAAUAAUACUAUGUGUAAACUGAGUUUUCUUCCAUUUGAGUGUCAAAAUAAGGAAUGUACAGCUAAAAUCAAAUUUAAAACUUCAGGGGUAGGAGUGAUUAUCUUGUUAUCGGUUUAGCUUGUGCCUGAUGCUUCUCAAAUUACAUUAAUUGACGUGUUAAAGUGUCCUGUUUCUUGAAGCAAUAGCCUAGAUUCACAAAACAGAUUUGGUAAUAGUAGAUUAGCUAGGAUUUUAUGCAAGGUUUUUCCCCAAAUGUUUAAUGGCAUUUAAAUGGAACAGAUUUAAUUGGUAGGUUUGUAAUGUUUUCAUUCAAGCUGAGUCAGUUCUUUGUGUUAGAUUGAAUGCCCUGGCCUUUUUACAACAGCUUUAUUGGAGUAAUAUUUUC